rnacentral:rRNA from 1 species
UGCAGUCGAGCGGCAGCGGAAGUAGCUUGCUACUUUGCCGGCGAGCGGCGGACGGGUGAGUAAUGUCUGGGAAACUGCCUGAUGGAGGGGGAUAACUACUGGAAACGGUAGCUAAUACCGCAUAACGUCGCAAGACCAAAGAGGGGGACCUUCGGGCCUCUUGCCAUCAGAUGUGCCCAGAUGGGAUUAGCUAGUAGGUGGGGUAACGGCUCACCUAGGCGACGAUCCCUAGCUGGUCUGAGAGGAUGACCAGCCACACUGGAACUGAGACACGGUCCAGACUCCUACGGGAGGCAGCAGUGGGGAAUAUUGCACAAUGGGCGCAAGCCUGAUGCAGCCAUGCCGCGUGUAUGAAGAAGGCCUUCGGGUUGUAAAGUACUUUCAGCGGGGAGGAAGGUGGUGAGGUUAAUAACCUCAUCAAUUGACGUUACCCGCAGAAGAAGCACCGGCUAACUCCGUGCCAGCAGCCGCGGUAAUACGGAGGGUGCAAGCGUUAAUCGGAAUUACUGGGCGUAAAGCGCACGCAGGCGGUCUGUCAAGUCGGAUGUGAAAUCCCCGGGCUCAACCUGGGAACUGCAUUCGAAACUGGCAGGCUAGAGUCUUGUAGAGGGGGGUAGAAUUCCAGGUGUAGCGGUGAAAUGCGUAGAGAUCUGGAGGAAUACCGGUGGCGAAGGCGGCCCCCUGGACAAAGACUGACGCUCAGGUGCGAAAGCGUGGGGAGCAAACAGGAUUAGAUACC